CUUUAAUAUUCUCCACAAUUAAAGUACAAGAGAAAUGUCUUUCGGGACUAUGGACAUAAACGCGCUCGUAAUACGCGGAUCGGACCCGGGGGCGGUACCCGGCGACUCCACCAAACACCGUUCAUUUGACGGAUUCGGGGUCGAAAUAGGAUCGACGAACGUCUAAAGGGGUUAGCUUUGUUUCGGCGAGAUACCACCGUAUCGGUUCAAAACGUACAAUUGCAAAUGACAAUCGUGCACCGGUAGCAAUGGCUGCGUAAGCAGUCGGCGAGACCGAACAUUAAGUCCAGUCCCUUUGCAGGGCCUGGCGGGGUUCGCAGGCACCUGGCAACAGAAGCCUG
rnacentral:tmRNA from 1 species